rnacentral:rRNA from 1 species
UACGUAGGGGGCAAGCGUUGUCCGGAAUCAUUGGGCGUAAAGCGCGUGUAGGCGGUCCGAUAAGUCGGCUGUGAAAGUCCAGGGCUCAACUCUGGGAUGCCGGCCGAUACUGUCGGACUAGAGUUCGGAAGAGGCGAGUGGAAUUCCCGGUGUAGCGGUGAAAUGCGCAGAUAUCGGGAGGAACACCAAUGGCGAAGGCAGCUCGCUGGGACGUUACUGACGCUGAGACGCGAAAGCGUGGGGAGCAAACAGG